AGCCCGGGAAACUGGGUCUAAUACCGGAUAUUACCUUUGACCGCAUGGUUUUUGGUGGAAAGAUUUAUCGGUGGGGGAUGGACUCGCGGCCUAUCAGCUUGUUGGUGAGGUAAUGGCUCACCAAGGCGACGACGGGUAGCCGGCCUGAGAAGGUCCACGGGCCACACUGGGACUGAGACACGGCCCAGACUCCUACGGGAGGCAGCAGUGGGGAAUAUUGCACAAUGGGCGAAAGCCUGAUGCAGCGACGCCGCGUGAGGGAUGACGGCCUUCGGGUUGUAAACCUCUUUCAGUAGGGAAGAAGCGAAAGUGACGGUACCUGCAGAAGAAGCGCCGGCUAACUACGUGCCAGCAGCCGCGGUAAUACGUAGGGCGCAAGCGUUAUCCGGAUUUAUUGGGCGUAAAGAGCUCGUAGGCGGUUUGUCGCGUCUGCCGUGAAAGUCCGAGGCUCAACCUCGGAUCUGCGGUGGGUACGGGCAGACUAGAGUGAUGUAGGGGAGACUGGAAUUCCUGGUGUAGCGGUGAAAUGCGCAGAUAUCAGGAGGAACACCGAUGGCGAAGGCAGGUCUCUGGGCAUUUACUGACGCUGAGGAGCGAAAGCAUGGGGAGCGAACAGGAUUAGAUACCCUGGUAGUCCAUGCCGUAAACGUUGGGCACUACGUGUGGGGAACAUUCCACGUUUUCCGCGCCGUAGCUAACGCAUUAAGUGCCCCGCCUGGGGAGUACGGCCGCAAGGCUAAAACUCAAAGGAAUUGACGGGGGCCCGCACAAGCGGCGGAGCAUGCGGAUUAAUUCGAUGCAACGCGAAGAACCUUACCAAGGCUUGACAUGUGCCAGACCGCCUCAGAGAUGGGGUUUCCCUUCGGGGCUGGUUCACAGGUGGUGCAUGGUUGUCGUCAGCUCGUGUCGUGAGAUGUUGGGUUAAGUCCCGCAACGAGCGCAACCCUCGUUCCAUGUUGCCAGCACGUAGUGGUGGGGACUCAUGGGAGACUGCCGGGGUCAACUCGGAGGAAGGUGGGGAUGACGUCAAAUCAUCAUGCCCCUUAUGUCUUGGGCUUCACGCAUGCUACAAUGGCCGGUACAAUGGGUUGCGAUACUGUGAGGUGGAGCUAAUCCCUAAAAGCCGGUCUCAGUUCGGAUUGGGGUCUGCAACUCGACCCCAUGAAGUCGGAGUCGCUAGAAUCG
rnacentral:rRNA from 1 species